UGGGCACACUCCUACACAGACACAAGCUUGCAGCAUCGAAUCAGUUUGAAGAGGUCCUCAAAAUAUAUUGCUUCUGUCAGUGUUGGGACAUAAGCUGUGCAUAGCUACUUUACUCUGGACACAGUGAACUUGUGGCAUAGCUGAAGAGAAGAUAACAGCUGAAUGUGUAGAAACCCUUCUGGCAUGGCAUCUGUGGCACACUAUAUCCUUUACUCGUAUAUACAACUUCGAGGAAUUUAGCAAGCAGCUGAUCUACCUCAAGGCUUUUCCCACAAGAGGAAGAAGACCAUCCACUCCGGAUUAUGCAAGAGAUGGUAGUUGUCUUUGAGGUGGAGCAGACUGUUGACGCAAAAUCAGCAAAAAGAAAGUGGAAUGCAUGCUACUUUUUCUCCAGCAUGACUUGGCUACACUUCUUCCUCUUCCUGUCCCUUAUGGGUCUUACAGCCUCUCUCACUUGGAAGUAGUGUUUGAUUGGAGAAGCAGAAUAAAUAAGUGAACCAAGUGGAGAGAAGAACUGGCCACACAAACCCCUGAUUAAAAAAAAAUGUUGAAGAAACUAAAUGAGAGAGGAAGUCCUUUCUUGAACAAAAGUCAUCGUAUUUCAUAAGCUCUGGCCAUCAACGUUGGAAUGCCACAGGCCGGAAGCCUCUUUUAGCUGACUCUGGAACCAAGGACUGACUCAAUUUACUGGGGAAAUGUUUUCUACGGAAGACUGGCUAAUUCCUUCCACCUGUGCAACCUGCUCUUAUUGUUCUCAGAGAGCAAUGAUGCUACUCCCAUGAAGCAUACCCUGGGAAAAAGAUAAAAGAGGAACCUCUUAUUGAAGGU